CUUCUUAAAUCAUUGCUACCAUGAUAAAGCCAGAGGUGGACUUCUGCACUCUAGCAGCCGUGUGCUGUCCGACUGGUGUCGACGAUUACGGAUGGAUUGCAGCGGCUGUUGGCUGGAGCCUCUGGUUUCUGACUCUCAUUCUGCUCUGUAUGGAAAAGGUCAUGAAACUCCGGCCUGACGAACCCAAAUAUUUGGUAGCCUGAAGCAGGGCAAGUCAUUGUGCAGCAGUGAGGUACAGACAGACUGACAAAGCAUUUCAAUCACUUCCAGAGAAACAGAAAAGAAAGAGAACUUGCCUUCAGUUAAAAGAAGUCCACAUGUAAGUGGGGCAUCUGCUGGGGCUCCAUCUUUCCUGGAAUGCCAGAGCUGCUGGCCGAAGCUGGCCACCAUGAACAUACCAGUGCACAUAGACAACAUAUAGUAUCAUAGAAUCAUCAAGAUUGGAAAGAUCACUAGGAUCACCUAGUCCUACUAUCAGCCCAUCCCCACCAUGCCCACUAACCACGUCUCUCAGUGCCACAUCCACACAUUUCUUGAAAAUCUCCAGGGAUGGUGACUUUGCCACUCUGUCAUUUCCCUGAGCCCAUCCAAGCCUGUCCUGAGGGUACAAUCAGACCCUGAAGGACCCAGUACUAGGCUCCCUGCCCUGACACAACCCAGAACAGCCUUGGAAUUUGAAAGAACAGUGGGCUGGUUUCUGAAGGAUCAACGCCAUGAGAUUCAGUACUAAGCUGUGGGCCAGGCUAUAUCACUAAAAGAAUGCAACUCAUUGAUUAUACUGAGCAACUUCUGUUUACUAAACCAAAGUGUUUACUGACACCAAGAAAAAACUCUGUUUUGGAAACUUGAGGCUUGUUUGGGCUGGUUCAAAAUUAGAACUAAUUAUUCCACUGCAAUGUAUAUGUGAAUUGCUUUGUGGAAGGUUAACAUGUUGGUCGUAUCUACUUGGCUUGUACUUGUCUACAUAAUUAAGACACUACACCACUGCAAAUGGGUUUUAAACCAGUAUAUCCAACUCAGGCAUAACACUGGUCCUAUUUAUCUAAGAUGAUAAUAAACACUCUUCUUGAUGGAAAGAUUCUCACUGACUGUUUUAAUCCCAGUUUAUGUUGAUACAGCUUGUAUCAGUAAGGAAUUAUCCCACCCAAAUUGCUAGAAACAUUAUCUUAAUGAGAAAUAUUCACACAGCAGUGUUUGCCUCAC
ensembl:lncRNA